AGUUAGUCUUGAUGAAAGAUCUUUUUGUGCCUAUUAUUGUUGGAAAUCUUGUAAAAGAUAGUAACUGCUAUCCCAAUACAGAGAAAAAAAAGGCUUUAGCACUAGAAGUGAUAAACCGCUUUCCAACCUUAAGAAGUGGUAAUGGUGAUGGUUAUGAUGCUUACUUCAGACAGUAUGUUGAAGUAUUAUGAAACAGAAAAGUUAAAAAAUAUUCCGCAUCAGGCUAUAUUGAAGAGCGUUUGAAAACGCUGAGAAAACAACUGCCAAUUACUGACAAGCCACACAAGCCGCAUCAGAAGCGCCUAAGAACAGAUGCAGUUGAUCUAGUCAAUGGACCCAUAACAGAGUAUUUUACAGAAGAUGAAAGGGUGCUCACCCAUGAACUUUUAAACGAGACACCUAACGAGAAUCGCAUAAAAAUUGUUAUGGCAUCAACUUAUGAAAGUCGAAGUCUCUGGGUGAGGGAAGGAAGACCUCCAAUAAAAACAUUUUUUUCAUCAUUUCCCCCAUUAAGAAAUAUUUACUCA